AGGUUGUUAGCUUCCUGCUCAGUAGGUUGUUAGGUUCAUCCUCAGUAGGUUGUUAGGUUCAUCCUCAGUAGGUUGUUAGGUUCAUCCUCAGUAGGUUGUUAGGUUCAUCCUCAGUAGGUUGUUAGGUUCCUCCUCAGUAGUUAGUGGGUAGGUUGUUAGGUUCAUCCUCAGUAGGUUGUUAGGUUCAUCCUCAGUAGGUUGUUAGGUUCCUCCUCAGUAGGUUGUUAGGUUCAUCCUCAGUAGGUUGUUAGGUUCAUCCUCAGUAGGUUGUUAGGUUCAUCCUCAGUAGGUUGUUAGGUUCAUCCUCAGUAGGUUGUUAGGUUCAUCCUCAGUAGGUUGUUAGGUUCCUCCUCAGUAGUUAGUGGGUAGGUUGUUAGGUUCCUCCUCAGUAGUUAGUGGGUAGGUUGUUAGGUUCAUCCUCAGUAGGUUGUUAGGUUCAUCCUCAGUAGGUUGUUAGGUUCAUCCUCAGUAGGUUGUUAGGUUCCUCCUCAGUAGUUAGUGGGUAGGUUGUUAGGUUCCUCCUCAGUAGGUUGUUAGGUUCCUCCUCAGUAGGUUGUUAGGUUCCUCCUCAGUAGUUAGUGGGUAGGUUGUUAGGUUCCUCCUCAGUAGUUAGUGGGUAGGUUGUUAGGUUCAUCCUCAGUAGGUUGUUAGGUUCAUCCUCAGUAGGUUGUUAGGUUCAUCCUCAGUAGGUUGUUAGGUUCCUCCUCAGUAG